CAAACAGGAUUAGAUACCCUGGUAGUCCACGCCGUAAACGAUGAGUGCUAAGUGUUAGAGGGUUUCCGCCCUUCAGUGCUGCAGCAAACGCAUUAAGCACUCCGCCUGGGGAGUACGACCGCAAGGCUGAAACUCAAAGGAAUUGACGGGGGCCCGCACAAGCGGUGGAGCAUGUGGUUUAAUUCGAAGCAACGCGAAGAACCUUACCAGGUCUUGACAUCCUUUGAACACUCUAGAGAUAGAGCUUUCCCUUCGGGGGCAAAGUGACAGGUGGUGCAUGGUUGUCGUCAGCUCGUGUCGUGAGAUGUUGGGUUAAGUCCCGCAACGAGCGCAACCCUUGAUGUUAGUUGCCAUCAUUAAGUUGGGCACUCUAAGGAGACUGCCGGUGACAAACCGGAGGAAGGUGGGGAUGACGUCAAAUCAUCAUGCCCCUUAUGACCUGGGCUACACACGUGCUACAAUGGGAAGUACAAAGAGUCGCAAGACCGCGAGGUCAAGCUAAUCUCAUAAAGCUUUUCUCAGUUCGGAUUGCAGGCUGCAACUCGCCUGCAUGAAGCCGGAAUCGCUAGUAAUCGCGGAUCAGCACGCCGCGGUGAAUACGUUCCCGGGCCUUGUACACACCGCCC
rnacentral:rRNA from 1 species